GUGAAUCAUCGAAUCUUUGAACGCACCUUGCGCUCCUUGGUAUUCCGAGGAGCAUGCCUGUUUGAGUGUCAUUAAAUUCUCAACUUCAAUAACUUUUGUUAAUGAAGCUUGGAUGUGGAGGUGUGCAGGUCUACACUCAGUGUGGUCUGCUCCUCUGAAAUGUAUUAGUGGGUUAGGCUCCUAAUCUAUUGGUGUGAUAAUUAUCUACGCCGUGGACUAGGAUGCUUGUAUAGACCUGCUUCUAACCGUCCGCAAGGACAAUACUUGACAAUUUUGACCUCAAAUCAGGUAAGACUACCC
rnacentral:misc_RNA from 1 species